CCCUCUAUUUAAACAGUUCAACGACUUGAGCCUGGAAUGACAAACAUUACCGAAAUUUUAUAAUAUUCAUUUCCCCCAGGGUAUGCAGAAUGUUGGCCAAUUUUCGGUUCUUGCUUUUAUUUGAGAUAUGGAAAAGUCACGGUUUUCUCAAAGCGACAUCUGGUGCAUGCCAUUAUAACUACGAUGACAGGGUUGACUUCAGUGUUAAAAGCAAACGGGAAUGGGCGCCAAAGCGAUUCAAUUUGAAAUCUUAAUUUGAAAUAAAACCGAUUAUAAAAUCUCUUUAUUUGAUAGCUUUAAACUAAACUCUUAUAAUUAAAGGAUGAAAGCUGCA
rnacentral:sRNA from 1 species